UUCGACCAAGGUUCGCGCCGAGCGUAGCGAGACAACGACGCGCAGCGGCGGCCCGAAGGGUGAGGAACGAAGUGACAAGCAAUCCUUCCCCCACCACCU
rnacentral:sRNA from 1 species